rnacentral:rRNA from 1 species
AGUGUAGGCGGUUACUUAAGUCGGAUGUGAAAUCCCCGGGCCCAACCUGGGAAUUGCAUUCGAUACUGGGUAGCUAGAGUUUGGUAGAGGUAAGUGGAAUUCCGGGUGUAGCGGUGAAAUGCGUAGAUAUCCGGAGGAACAUCAGUGGCGAAGGCGGCUUACUGGACCAAAACUGACGCUGAGGCUCGAAAGCGUGGGGAGCAAACAGGAUUAGAUACCCUGGUAGUC